AGUGAACGCUGGCGGUAGGCCUAACACAUGCAAGUCGAACGGCAGCACAGUAAGAGCUUGCUUUUACGAGUGGCGAGCGGCGGACGAGUAAGGAAUACAUCGGCACCUACUUUUUCGGGGGGGACAACGUAGGGAAACUUAUACUAAUACCGAAUACGAGCUACGGGUUGAAGCAUGGGAUCUUCGGACCUUUGGCGAUUGACUGAGCCGAUGUCGGCUUAGCUAGUUGGUGGGUUAAAGGCCCACCAGGGCGAGGAACCGUAGCUGGUCGGGGAGGAUGGUCGGCGCCCUUGGAACGUGAACAGGGUCCAGACGCCUGCGGGAGGCACCAGAGGGGAAUGUUGGGCAAUGGGGGCAAGCAUGAUCCAGCCAGACCGCGUGGGUGAAAAAGGCCUUCGGGUUGUAAAGCCCUUUUGUUGGGAAAAAAAAGCAGCAGAUUAGUACCCCGCUGUUGUGACGGUACCCAAAGAAUAAGCACCGGCUAACUACGUG
rnacentral:rRNA from 1 species